UCUGCAACUCGACUCCAUGAAGCUGGAUUCGCUAGUAAUCGCGCAUCAGCCAUGGCGCGGUGAAUACGUUCCCGGGCCUUGUACACACCGCCCGUCAAGCCAUGGGAGUCGGGAGUGCCUGAAGUUCGUGACCGUCACAGGAGCGACCUAAGGCAAGACCGAUGACUGGGGCUAAGUCGUAACAAGGUACC
rnacentral:rRNA from 1 species